rnacentral:piRNA from 1 species
UGCCUGAUGGAGACUUAACGAUAACAAUGCU